rnacentral:tRNA from 1 species
GGGGCUGUAGCUCAAUUGGUAGAGCGCUACUCUGGCAGAGUAGAGGUCAGGGGUUCGAUUCCCCUCAGCUCCACGA